rnacentral:rRNA from 1 species
UACGUAGGGGGCAAGCGUUGUCCGGAUUUACUGGGCGUAAAGCGCGCGCAGGCGGUCCCGUAAGUCGGACGUGAAAGCCAGGGCUCAACUCUGGAAGUGCGUCUGAUACUGCGAGACUGGAGUACUGGAGAGGAGAGCGGAAUUCCCGGUGUAGAGGUGAAAUUCGUAGAUAUCGGGAAGGAACACCAGUGGCGAAGGGCGGCUCUCUGGACAGAUACUGACGCUGAGGCGCGAAAGCGUGGGAAGCAAACAGG